GUGAUUGGUGAAAUAGAGGUUGGGUUGGGAUUGAAAAAAGAAACGCAAUGGAAGGAAGCAAUAGCAACGACCAAAACAAGGCGAAGAAAGGGUUGGAAGGCAGUGGCAUCGAUUUACCCAUUAACCGUCGUGCCAACUUGAAAAGCGCUACCAGCGACGACGACUUCACCGACAUUCUCGCUCACAUCAAAUCCUCUUCAACCCCCGCUGUUAUCAAUUACGGCGCUUCUUGGUACGUUACUGCUGAAUUUGGAACUUUUCCAAUUAAUGGAAACUCCAAACUGUGUCGUGUUUGUAGCCAAAUUCUCCCGGCAUUCUGUAAACUGAGCAAUAAUUUUCCGAAGCUUACGUUUGUGUACGCAGACAUUGAUGAAUGCCCGGAAACAACUCAACACAUUCGAUACACCCCCACCUUCCAAUUUUACCGGAAUGGUGAAAAGGUAGAUGAGAUGUAUGGGGCUGGAGAAGAGAGGCUCCAUGAUCGACUGUGGUUGCACUCUUAACUCCGUGUAAGAAAACACAUUUAUGUUUGCAAUUUCUCUAUCUGUGUAGGUAGCAUUGUCAAUCAUGAACGCUUAUGUGAAUGGUAGAAUAAAAUCUAGCUAGUUAUUCCGUGUCUUAGUAAGAAUUUGUUUUGUAUGAGGUAAACAGUUUCAUAAAUGGACUCCAUUAAAAAAAUUAAAUAGAUAACAUCGUAAGUUUACACCAAUGCACAAGGAUUGGUUGCAAAACAAUCAGAAGAAAAUAAUUGGUUACAGUAAAUAAAUUUAAAUUAAGCGGUAAAACCAAAAUUAAAGAGGUAGCUAAUGCUGCAUGCUCUCCUAUUGUGCUAACUGCUAACGCGUCUACUCCCUUUUCUAGUUUGAGCUGUGAAACGUAUCUUCAGUAAGAGAUGUGGUGUACGCAUUGAAGCUUCCUUAUUUCCCUUUUACCCAGAAUCCGAAAGAUGGCUACGGUGAUAGCCACAUGUAGCAAUGAAUACCAUGGGUGGCUAAUUCAAGCCUUAGGCUUGAGUAUCUUCACAGUCUCCCAAGUAAAAUCAGGAUCAUCACGUCCAAAAUGCCCAUAAGCAGCAGUUUUCUGGUACCUGAAGUUGCCUCCUCUCAUGAGAUCAAGAUUGAUGGCAAUCAUUCCUGGCCUGAAGUCAAAGUUCUCCUUAAUCAAAGCCAAGAUAUCCUUGUCUGGAAUCUUUCCUGUUUUGUGUGUGUCUACAAACACUGAAAGUGGUUCUGGGACUCCAAUUGCAUAAGAAACCUGCACAAGACAACGUCGUGCAAGCCCUGAAGCUACCACACUCUUGGCUGCUUGCCUAACAAUGUAUGCACCACUCCUGUCAACCUUGGUCGGGUCCUUCCCGGAGAAGGCACCCCCACCGUGAGCACCCCAGCCGCCAUAGGUGUCGAUAAUGAUCUUCCUUCCUGUGAGUCCUGCAUCUCCAUGGGGUCCACCAAUCACAAACCUACCAGAGGGGUUGAGGUGGAAGAUGGUCUUGUCAUCUAGAUUCAUCAUGCUGGGUUGAGAUGAGAACCGUGUGCACCCGGAUAGGGAUCAUGGCUCCAUUGUCGUUCUUGUACUCAACUGUCACUUGGGUUUUACCAUCUGGCCUCAGCCAGGGGCAUGUUUUGUUCUUUCUCACCUCAGUGAGUUUGGCACCAAGUUGGGUAGCAAGCACAUGAGUGAGUGGCAUUAGCUCAGGUGUUUCAUCUGUGGCAUAGCCAAACAUGUGGCCUUGGUCACCAGCACCAAUUUCCUCGGGUUUUUUGGUCAUGUGACCGUGAACUCCUUGAGCAAUAUCAGGGCUCUGUUGCUCAAUGUUGACCAGAACUUUGCAGUUGUCAGCAUCAAGACCAACUUCCGCUGACACAAACCCAAUUGCUCUACAAGUGUCUCGAAUUAUUUUCUCGUAGUUCACAUUCGCCUUGGUUGUAAUCUCACCAAACACCAUAACCAUGUUAGUUUUUGAACAAGUCUCGCAUGCAACCUUGCUGUCUGGGUCUUGCUCCAAGCAUGCAUCCAAGAUGGCAUCUGAAACCUGGUCACACAGCUUGUCGGGAUGACCUUCGUUUACAGAUUCUGAGGUGAAGAGGAAAGUUUCCAUAUCUGUCGUUAAGAAAACAAAAAAAGGGUUAAAUUGUGUUGUAGAAACUAGAGAAGCAAUUAACUUGACAAUACGGUACAUUUCUUUUGCAUGAACCCUA